CCUACGGGAGGCAGCAGUGAGGAAUAUUGGUCAAUGGACGAGAGUCUGAACCAGCCAAGUAGCGUGAAGGAUGACUGCCCUAUGGGUUGUAAACUUCUUUUAUAUGGGAAUAAAAUGUUCCACGUGUGGGAUUUUGUAUGUACCAUAUGAGUAAGGAUCGGCUAACUCCGUUCCAGCAGCCGCGGUAAUACGGAGGAGCCGAGCGUUAUCCGGAUUUAUUGGGUUUAAAGUGCGCGUAGGUGGAUUGUUAAGUCAGUUGUGAAAGUUUGCGGCUCAACCGGAAAAUUGCAGUUGAAACUGGCAGUCUUGAGUACAGUAGAGGUGGGCGGAAUUCGUGGUGUAGCGGUGAAAUGCUUAGAGAUCACGAAGAACUCCGAUUGCGAAGGCAGUUCACUGGACUGAAACUGACACUGAGGCUCGAAAGUGUGGGUAUCAAACAGGAUUAGAUACCCGGGUAGUC
rnacentral:rRNA from 1 species